rnacentral:tRNA from 1 species
GCGGGAAUAGCUCAGUUGGUAGAGCGCAACCUUGCCNNNUUCGAGACUCGUUUCCCGCUCCA